AUCGACAGGGGAGCACCACCGCGGUGCUGAGAGUGCCGUAGAAGGCUGACCCUCGAACCUGAUCCGGUUAGUACCGGCGCUAGGGAGUCGAGUAUC
rnacentral:ncRNA from 1 species